rnacentral:rRNA from 3 species
GAUUGAACGCUGGCGGCAGGCUAACACAUGCAAGUCGAACGGUAACAGGAAGCAGCUUGCUGCUUUGCUGACGAGUGGCGGACGGGUGAGUAAUGUCUGGGAAACUGCCUGAUGGAGGGGGAUAACUACUGGAAACGGUAGCUAAUACCGCAUAACGUCGCAAGACCAAAGAGGGGGACCUUAGGGCCUCUUGCCAUCGGAUGUGCCCAGAUGGGAUUAGCUAGUAGGUGGGGUAACGGCUCACCUAGGCGACGAUCCCUAGCUGGUCUGAGAGGAUGACCAGCCACACUGGAACUGAGACACGGUCCAGACUCCUACGGGAGGCAGCAGUGGGGAAUAUUGCACAAUGGGCGCAAGCCUGAUGCAGCCAUGCCGCGUGUAUGAAGAAGGCCUUCGGGUUGUAAAGUACUUUCAGCGGGGAGGAAGGGAGUAAAGUUAAUACCUUUGCUCAUUGACGUUACCCGCAGAAGAAGCACCGGCUAACUCCGUGCCAGCAGCCGCGGUAAUACGGAGGGUGCAAGCGUUAAUCGGAAUUACUGGGCGUAAAGCGCACGCAGGCGGUUUGUUAAGUCAGAUGUGAAAUCCCCGGGCUCAACCUGGGAACUGCAUCUGAUACUGGCAAGCUUGAGUCUCGUAGAGGGGGGUAGAAUUCCAGGUGUAGCGGUGAAAUGCGUAGAGAUCUGGAGGAAUACCGGUGGCGAAGGCGGCCCCCUGGACGAAGACUGACGCUCAGGUGCGAAAGCGUGGGGAGCAAACAGGAUUAGAUACCCUGGUAGUCCACGCCGUAAACGAUGUCGACUUGGAGGUUGUGCCCUUGAGGCGUGGCUUCCGGAGCUAACGCGUUAAGUCGACCGCCUGGAGACGCCACGGAGUACGGCCGCAAGGUUAAAACUCAAAUGAAUUGACGGGGGCCCGCACAAGCGGUGGAGCAUGUGGUUUAAUUCGAUGCAACGCGAAGAACCUUACCUGGUCUUGACAUCCACGGAAGUUUUCAGAGAUGAGAAUGUGCCUUCGGGAACCGUGAGACAGGUGCUGCAUGGCUGUCGUCAGCUCGUGUUGUGAAAUGUUGGGUUAAGUCCCGCAACGAGCGCAACCCUUAUCCUUUGUUGCCAGCGGUCCGGCCGGGAACUCAAAGGAGACUGCCAGUGAUAAACUGGAGGAAGGUGGGGAUGACGUCAAGUCAUCAUGGCCCUUACGACCAGGGCUACACACGUGCUACAAUGGCGCAUACAAAGAGAAGCGACCUCGCGAGAGCAAGCGGACCUCAUAAAGUGCGUCGUAGUCCGGAUUGGAGUCUGCAACUCGACUCCAUGAAGUCGGAAUCGCUAGUAAUCGUGGAUCAGAAUGCCACGGUGAAUACGUUCCCGGGCCUUGUACACACCGCCCGUCACACCAUGGGAGUGGGUUGCAAAAGAAGUAGGUAGCUUAACCUUCGGGAGGGCGCUUACCACUUUGUGAUUCAUGACUGGGGUGAAGUCGUAACAAGGUAACCGUAGGGGAACCUGCGGCUGGUCCCACCUCCCUU